UAUUAUUGUCUCUUGGGUAUUACUGUCUUUACACUUGUUUAAGCACUUUGUAACUUGUUUUUGAAAAUAAAGAUUAUUAUUAUUAUUACAUGUAUGACCUUUGCAUAGUUCGGUGUUCAGUGAGUUGUGAUUAAUUAAAUGCGCCGACAGCUCAUCGCACGUGCGCACAGAUUACACUGAGUGGAGCGGGUGACCGGUUCAAGAUGGCGGCCCCACGGCUCGUCCGCGCCAGUAGACAGCAGCGGUCGAUGGGGCGUCUGUGUAUAUUACGUUUCUAACUACUAUGUAGUAGAAAAAGAAUCUCUCCUUUAUUAGAAGUGGAAUUUUGGGCAAAUGCAGGACCACAGCUAUUAUUUAGCACAAGAGCCGACGGAGGGUGAAUGCUUUAAGAAGCCAGACUUAAUAACGGGAGCUACGCAGGCAGAAAUCACGGGAAAACAUCGGUGUGGCUUUUCCCAGAUGGAAGAAGGGUCUAAUGAGGGAAAAAUGUUUUCAAAGCGACGCCGAAGUUGUCUAUUUUCUGCUGGACAGCUACGAGACAAGUCCUGCAACAUCGAUUCCCUUGAAGAGAAAACCUUUGCAAGUCCCAGCUCCAGCAUUAUCUAGCAUUGGGGUUUCUACUGGAACAGACUAAGAUGAGCAUCUUGAUGUCAUUCCAGAAGCCACAGAAAUUCAGGGCCUUGAACAAAGGUAACAUGUACACAUCAUAACUUUUAGCCCUGUAUUGCUUUUCUCCAAAUGUCCAUAAUAUAAACUGUAGUUGGAUGUCAUCAGCAUAGCAAUGGUAAGAUAUUUCUUCAAAACUACCAAGGAAGCAUAUACAAACUGAACAGCAGGGGGCCGAGCACAGAACGUUGGGUCACACCACAGGACAAAGGAGCAGAGUCUGACAUAUAUGUUCCUAUGGACACAGAGAAACUCCUGUCUUAUCCUGAGAUAGGAGGAAAACCAGUCCAGAGCUGAUCCAGUAAUGCCCACAGUUGUUUUCAGUCUAUCAGUCAGAGUGCAGUGAUCCACAGUAUCAAACGCUGCACUGAGAUCUAAUAGCACAGAACAUUUACCCCCAUCAGCUGCCAUCAAAAUAUCAUUUGAGACCCUAAGGAGGGCAGUCUCAGUUGAAUGUUUGUUUUUGUUUUUUUACAAAAACCAGACUAAUCAAAGAUAUUGUGAGAAUCCAAAACAUUUUAUUAUUUAGCUGCUUCGUAACAAUCUUUUCUAGAAUUUUAGAAAAAAAAGGCAAUUUAGAAAUAGGCCUAUUAGUUUCUAAAUGAAGCUGCAUCAAGAUUGUUUGAACAACAGCAUGCUUAAAACAGCUAGGGACCUGGACCAGCUGAAGAGAUAAGUUUAAAAUCGAAACCAAACAUGGGCCAAGUAGAUGUAUGGAUUUUAAAAGGAAAGAUGUGGGUAAAAAAAAUCAACAGGGCUUUUGGAAGGUUUCAUCGUCCCCACUAACUUAAUGAUGAGAUUCAGGGUAAUGGGGCAGAAUGAGUCCAGAAUUGAAAGUCUGU